AUUGAACGCUGGCGGCAUGCCUUACACAUGCAAGUCGAACGGCAGCAUGAUCUAGCUUGCUAGAUUGAUGGCGAGUGGCGAACGGGUGAGUAAUACAUCGGAACGUGCCCUGUAGUGGGGGAUAACUAGUCGAAAGAUUAGCUAAUACCGCAUACGACCUGAGGGUGAAAGUGGGGGACCGCAAGGCCUCAUGCUAUAGGAGCGGCCGAUGUCUGAUUAGCUAGUUGGUGAGGUAAAGGCUCACCAAGGCGACGAUCAGUAGCUGGUCUGAGAGGACGAUCAGCCGCACUGGGACUGAGACACGGCCCAGACUCCUACGGGAGGCAGCAGUGGGGAAUUUUGGACAAUGGGCGAAAGCCUGAUCCAGCAAUUCCGCGUGUGUGAAGAAGGCCUUCGGGUUGUAAAGCACUUUUGUCCGGAAAGAAAUGGCUCUGGUUAAUACCUGGGGUCGAUGACGGUACCGGAAGAAUAAGGACCGGCUAACUACGUG
rnacentral:rRNA from 1 species